rnacentral:lncRNA from 10 species
CCCCCCCCCUGCGAUGGGGGUCCUAAGAGCCAGGGGGGAAGAGGGGAUGGCUGUCAGUCCCUCCCUCGUGGGUGGUACCUCCGCCUUCUGCGAUGGUGGUCCUAAGAGCCAGGGGGAGACGAGGGGCUGGCUCUCAGUCCCCGCUUCGCGAGGGGUGCCUCCCCCCCCCGCGAUGGGGGUCCUAAGAGUCUGGGGGGAAAGAGGGGCUGGCUCUCAAUCCCCGCCUCGCGGGGGUGCCUCCCCCAGGUGCUAUGUGGGUCCUAAGAGCCAGGGGUGAAGAGGGGCUAGCUCUCUGUCCCCUCGUCACGGGGGUUGCAUCACCCACCCUGCGAUGGAGGUUCCAAGAGCCAAGGGGGUAAGAGGGGCUGGCUCUCAGUCCCUGCCUCGCGGGGGUUCCUCCCCCCCUGCGAUGGGGGUCCCAAGAGCCAGGGGGGGAAGAGGGGCUGGCUCUCAGUCCCCGCCUCGCGGAGGGUGCCUCCCCCACCACUGCGAUGGGGGUCCCAAGAGCCAGGGGGGGAAGAGGGUCUGGCUCUCCACCACCACAAAAUGGGGGGCCUUUAUGUUCAGGUUUUGCCCAAGAGUCAGCUUAUUUGCUUCUUGUACUAGCAGGGCAGUUGCUGCCAAGGCCCUCAAACAGGGUGCCAUCCUUUAGAAACCCUGUCUAGUUGUUCAGAGACGUAGGCCACCGGCCUCAUCCAGGGCCCCACAGUUUGGGUUAAAAGUCCACCUGCCAUCUUUUCUCUCUCUGACGCAUACAAUGGAAAAGGCUUUGUCAGAUCGGAUAGCCCCAGGGCUGAAGCUGCCAGAAGUUUUUCCUUUAACUCAUGAAAGACUUGCUGUUGUUGGGAUCCCCCUUCCAAAGGUUCCCAGUCCCCGCCCCCUUUGUGACAUCAUACAAAGUCUUGGCUUAUACUGCAAAGUUUGGGAUCCACAGUCUACAAAACCCCACAGCUCCUGAGAAUUCUCUUGCCUGCCUUCGGCUCUUAGGCUAUAGUAGAUUCCAAAUAACCUGCUUUCUUUCUGUUCCCGGGUGGCUUCGGACCCCUGUCGGAUCGGAAAUCCCAAGCUCCAGUAGAUUGCAAAUGACCUGCUUACUUUCUGUUCCCGGGCUGCGUUCUGACACCUGUCGGAUAGUAAAUCCCAAGUAAGGUACCAGCCGUCGGCAGAUUUGAGCUUUCUUCUUGGACACCUAUACCCACAGUCCUCCAGUGUUUUAGACGCCCAGCUGCACAACUUGAUUGCCUUACAAAUGACCUGCUUCCAGGAUGCGGAAAUUCCUAAUUUCUUCUGUGACCCUUCUCAACUCCCCCAUCUUGCAUGUUGUGACACCUUCACCAAUAACAUAAUCAUGUAUUUCCCUGCUGUCAUAUUUGGUUUUCUUCCCAUCUCUGGGACCCUUUUCUCUUACUAUAAAAUUGUUUCCUCCAUUCUGAGUGUUUCAUCAUCACGUGGGCAGUAUAAGGCCUUCUCCACCUGUGGGUCUCACCUGUCAGUUGUUUGCUGAUUUUACGGAACGGGCGUUGGAGGGUACUUCAGUUCAGAUGUGUCAUCUUCCCCGAGAAAGGCUGCAGUGGCCUCAGUGAUGUACACGGUGAUCACCCCAUGCUGAACCCCUUCAUCUACAGCCUGAGAAACAGGCAUAUUAAAAGUGUCCUGCGGCG